UGUUCUGGCAGGGAGAAGCAAGGAGAGGAGUAAGAAAAUGAGAAGACCGGACAAAAUCAGGGCAAGAAAAAUUGGGGAGAGCCCCCAAUUCAUCCAUGGAACUUCAUACCCUUCCUUCCAACCAGACUUUGUUGGCUAGGUGCAGAUCAGAGGAGAAAAGAAGGCAAGACCCUGGAGGUCUGAGAUGAUACCCCACCCACCGAAGACAGUUCUACAAGCUUCCAUUACUGCUUUUACCUUGCUGGCAUGGAAUUCCAGGCGCCGCAGGAAACGCUCAAUGGAUUUCACUUGCUGAGGAAAUAAACAAGGUUAGACUAAGAGAACUGCUAGUUGGGGCUGGGGAAGGGGGGGUAGAUGAGAGUGCCUCCUCCUGAUUCCUCUCCCCAACCUUCUAAUGUCUCAUACCUUUCUCAGCCCCCAACUUCAGUCUCAGAUCCACUCACCUUGUCCAACUCAUAGAGAAAGCCCUGUAUGGGGAAAAAUAAGACAGGAUGAGGAGCAAAAGAGAUGGGGUCCUGGAUAGCAGGAGUGUGUUAACAUUGAGAAUGAAGGGCAUUCUUUGCACUGCUGUUGGGGUUGUCUUGUGGGUGAAUAAGGUAAGGAGAGAAAUGGUGGCGGGGGAUGGAAACCUAUUGGACUUAGCUUUUUUUUUUUUUCCCAAACCCUUACUAAGUAUCUGUUCCAAGGCAGAAGAGGAGUAAAGGCUAGGCAAUGAGGGUUAAGUGACUUGUCCAGUAUCACACAGCUAGGGAGUGUCUGAGGCCAGACAUAUUAUCUUAACUUGAUUGAGGAAAUAAACAAGGUAUCAAAUAUAGCUUGGGCUCUCACCAGUCCCUUCUAGAAAUGAUUGUAAGAAGAGGGAAGGGAUCUAAAGGAACCAGCUCCAACUCACUAGCCACAUACUAUUAGAUGUUCAGUGUGACAUUUACUUCUCAGAAAUGGGCAUGCUACAAAUCAAUGUAUGGUUUAUUGUUUUAUUGACUGUCUAGAUGAGAAAUUUGGGCAGAAAAUAUUGAUAAUGCAGAUUAAAUCUAAAAGUGUGUCAUUUUACAUUCUGGCCCACUCUAGCUAGUAUCAGUAACAUUUAUCAGCACUCUGUUGCUGUAGCUCCUUCUUAUUCUGUUAUUCUUUAUUCUCUAACCCAUAUUCAAGACUGAGAGGGGCUUUGAGGAUAGGGGGAUGUCCUGAAAUGGCUCUUUGUGUAUUAUUUUAAACUUAAAUUAGCAUCCUGUUCUGUGUCAUUAACACCAGAGAGGACUCUUUCAUAGCUCUGUAAGACUUGUGAUCAAUGUGCAUAGGAGUGGGCUGGGGGAACUGGGGCAGUUAAUCUCAGGGCACGUAUCCCUAAAAAGCUUCCAAAAAAAGGAGCACCUCUCAUAAACUCUUCAGCUCACUACUUUACUUCCAUCAGAAUAUCUAGAUUUCUUGAUGUUCUAAAUCCAAGAUGUGUUUUACUUUGUUUUAAAAAUGUUUAUUACCAAAGUUGAAAGAUUUGCUACAUUUGUAAAAACUUGUGACAAAUAUCCAUCAAUUCAUAGGUUUUUUUAAAAAUGCCAUACAGCAACUUAUGUGAAAUAUGAUAGUGUGUUUGUUUGCUAUUGUAAUUAAUUGGGCUAUUGAGAAUUUUGGGGAUUUUGAUAACUACAUAUUUGUACUACUAUUCUUUAACAAUGAAAAAUGUUACCUUGCUCAAUUCAUUUGCUCAUACUCACAGUGGAUCAUGGCCAGAUAUGAAGAGGAAAUGGAUCUCAUUUUUGGUGAGAAAGCCUUGUAUUCUACAUUUUCUCAGCUGACACAGUGUGUCAAUGAUUAUAAGCUACAUUUUUGAAUUCUUUAAAACUCUUUUAUUAUAUUUUUCUUGCAUGUGCAAUAUACUUUUUCAGUUGUUUUAUUUUUCUCUCCUUUUUAUAUUUGAAGCACAUGUCACCAGCAUUACGAUUUUCUUUAACUUUUUGAUUUUGCAAUAAUAUAAGUUUAAGAUACAUUUGCUAAUGUAUGCCCCAAAAGCUUGUGACUAUAAAAAUGAUGCUUGUGACUAUAAAAAUAAUUGUUUAAAGAAAUUAUGGGACUUUACUUAAUGAUUCUGUUUAAUUCCAGGACAAGAUACACACAAAAGAGCCAUUGCACAGUGCCAAAGAAGCACAAAGCUAAACUGCAUAGUGCCAAUCAAGCACAAGGUCAAAGAGACCAACCAAUCCUGGUGGGAUUGAUGUAAUUUUGAGCCUAGACAAAGAGGACUUGAACAUGUUUGGGGUUUGAGGUUGUGGCUGUUUAACAUGUGUUGAAGGAAGGUCUUUCUUGUUCCACAUUCUACCAAGUAUCUCAAACUUGUCUCCUACUUGGCUCCUAUAAUCUAGUCCCUUUUUUCUGUCUUUCAUAAUGUGGUAACUUUCUGUAGUCCUAGCUACUGACUGGGUAAAUGCAUCAUUACUUAGAUCAUUUUAAUUGGGCCCUGAUUCAAGGACCUGUUACAGAUUUAUUUUUCUUUUACUUAGAAUUUUUACACAUAAGACUUUGAUACUCUAUAUUUUCAUCCAGUAUUUUCUUUUCUUUUGGAUUUUUCUGAUGUCUUUUUCAUUUCUCUUACCAAUUGAUUCAUAUACCUCAUAUCUCAGCCAUGCAUCCCUAAGUGAUCCUGUAUUUUUCAAUCACCCUCUUAAUGGGGGAAUGUAAAAAAUAUCAUUAUUUUAAAUUGCAAAGUUUAAAUUCCUUUUGAGAAGAAUUUUAGGUAAAGAAAGAUGCUACUUCCCUGAAUCCAGAAACUGAACUGUUGGAGAAGACACCAUGAAGAAGCCUCCAGACCACAAGCUGCACAAAAAUGAACUUUGGGUGUGGUUGAUUGAACAUUUAUUUGUAUGUAUACUCUCAUGCCAAAGGGGACUGCCCCCUAACUGGCUUUUUGUCAAUGCGUCCAGCAAUUAUUGGUUUUGUUCUUUUCCCCCCUCUUAUCCUCAAAUUAUUGUAAUCUUUAAAUUGAUUAUGUUUUUAUGAUCCUUUGGGGAAGUCCUUCUUCCCAGAGGAUCAAACGCAGGAAUGUAAAAAUGGAGACUUGAAUGCAGGACUUCAAUCCCCAGAAGUCCUUGCUCCACUUCCCCAGAAUGCUUUAUCAUAUCACUGAAUUCUCACCUGGGCCGAGAUCAAGAUGGGGUAUUUAACCUGAUUGGAAAGGCUUCUGGGCCUCUCUUCUCUUCCUGUCUCCGUUGGCAAUCAGACGCUCAUGAUGUGAGUGAAAUUGAAUUGGGCCUCUCGGCCCACCUGGCAUGUGCCUUUCUUACUUGUAUUUUCUUGAAAUUCUCAACCUUAAAUAAACCUCUAAAAAUAUCA